GCCAUUGUAUAGCACAAACUUUGGACUACAGAGUGCACGAUCAUGAGUCGAAAACUACAGUUCCUGUUCCUCUUCGUUUCGUUCGUCUUAUUCGCCGGAUUUUUCGUAACACCGGCAGUCGGAGUGCCACCGGCGUGCCGCAGUUUACCGCGACGUCAUCUCUGCUACAGCGACAAGUACAGAAUAAUGUGCAGGCUCACCGAUUGUAGCGCCGACGAACGAAGAGGAAAGUAAUACAAAAUCACGGCCAUGUCAUCGGCAAAAUAAUGUCAGACACAUGGCAUAAUUGCUGCGAAAAAAUAAAUAUUUUUCAUUGGGAAUAAAAUGUAUUUGUUCUUCAA